rnacentral:rRNA from 1 species
GCGCGAAACCUUCGCAAUGCGCGAAAGCGUGACGAGGUUAAUCCGAGUGACUCCCGCUGAGGGGGUCUUUUGUCAGCUGUAAAUAGGCAUGCGAAUAAAGGGAGGGCAAGCCUGGUGU